GUGGGGAAUUUUGGACAAUGGGCGCAAGCCUGAUCCAGCAAUGCCGCGUGCAGGAAGAAGGCCUUCGGGUUGUAAACUGCUUUUGUACGGAACGAAAAGGCUCUGGUUAAUACCUGGGGCUCAUGACGGUACCGUAAGAAUAAGCACCGGCUAACUACGUGCCAGCAGCCGCGGUAAUACGUAGGGUGCAAGCGUUAAUCGGAAUUACUGGGCGUAAAGCGUGCGCAGGCGGUUUUGUAAGACAGACGUGAAAUCCCCGGGCUCAACCUGGGAAUGGCGUUUGUGACUGCAAAGCUGGAGUGCGGCAGAGGGGGAUGGAAUUCCGCGUGUAGCAGUGAAAUGCGUAGAUAUGCGGAGGAACACCGAUGGCGAAGGCAAUCCCCUGGGCCUGCACUGACGCUCAUGCACGAAAGCGUGGGGAGCAAACAGGAUUAGAAACCCUAGUAGUCC
rnacentral:rRNA from 1 species